rnacentral:rRNA from 1 species
UACGUAGGGUGCGAGCGUUAAUCGGAAUUACUGGGCGUAAAGCGUGCGCAGGCGGUUCUCCAAGUCCGUUGUGAAAGCCCCGGGCUCAACCUGGGAAUGGCAUUUGGGACUGCAAGGCUUGAGUGCGGCAGAGGAGACUGGAAUUCCUGGUGUAGCAGUGAAAUGCGUAGAUAUCAGGAGGAAUACCGAUGGCGAAGGCAGGUCUCUGGGCUGACACUGACGCUCAUGCACGAAAGCGUGGGGAGCAAACAGG